ACAGCUUCAGAAUUACAGGAAAUUGUUACUCAUGCUUUUGUGUUUUACACUCUAAAUUAUUAUUAAUUGAAAAGAUUUUACUAGAACAUUUUGACACUCAACGAUACAGAUUCUAAAAACGGAAUUUCUAAUUGGAAAAUAUUAUGUUAAACAGAUAAAUUUAGUGUCAGACCUGUAGUGAGAAAGCUAUGAACCCCCCAUAAAUGUUCUUCACUCAUCAUGAACUUUCCCUAGAGUUUACUUUUGAACUUGGCACCUACCUUCCUGUCUCUGCAUGAUCAGGCCUGUGUUGAAUUGAUGCACUGUGCUUAGAUGUCUGGCUAGAGUGAAAAGUGACUUCUUGACUAAUACAGAUCAUUUCUUCCAAAAUAUGAUCCAUAUCUAUGCUUGUUGGAUCAGUGGACGUUGACUACUUAGACCAGAACUCACAGGUAGAAGUUGCUUCACUGUCCUGUAGUCUCAUGGCCGGCCCUCCCUAUACGCGAAUUACGCAGCCGCGUAGGGCCCCCGUCACCAGCAGGGCCCCGAAGUGGCGACAAAAAUUAAAUUAAAAAAGACCCAAAUCUGGCAACCCAUUUCAUAGAACAUCUUUUCCAACGUGUGCUCUCAAUGUUGUGCAAAAGAAAGUUGCCUGCACUUUAAUGAUCCCCCCUGUCAGCACACAUGAACCAAUUUGGCAACCCAAAUAAUGACGUUACACCAUUUAGCAACGAUUGGUCAACAUAAUUGCAUCUGAGUCUGGCACGGUGUGCAUUUACGAGCGCAUUUUGUUUCAAUAAGGUUGGGGAAAAGAAAAAAAAACAGCACAUUUUGUCACGCUGAUCAAAGCGACAACAAGAAAACGUCAUGCCUCAGAGACUUUAUCCACCACCAGGAGCUAAAAAAAGAUAAAGAACUUCAACAUCAAUCACAAGUUCCGUCUCAGCCGACAGUUUCUUCUGCUCUCAAAAAGCAUCAAAAGUAUUGGAGGUGGUGCAGCGUCCACAUCCCAAGAUGUUCCUGACUUCAUUGAAGAUUUCAUCUCAGGGGCUCCAAGAGAGGCGUAUAUGGAAGAGGAGCCGACUGGAUCCAAAAUUCCACCUACCUCAAAUCCAGUUGGUCCAGCUGAAUGUCUAACCACACUCUCUGAUCCAGUAAGAAUGGAUUUGGUGCAAAGAGGUCCUUUUCAGACUGAGAAAGACUCUGACUUUCCAAACUCCCCCUCAUUGAGCUGUUGU